rnacentral:rRNA from 1 species
GUGAAGCGGCAACAGCUCAAAUUUGAAAUCUGGCCUCACGGUCCGAGUUGUAAUUUGUAGAGGAUGCUUCGAACGCGGUCCGGUCUAAGUUCCUUGGAACAGGACGUCAUAGAGGGUGAGAAUCCCGUAUGUGACCGGGUGCCUAAGUUCAUGUGAAGCUCCUUCGACGAGUCGAGUUGUUUGGGAAUGCAGCUCAAAAUGGGUGGUAAAUUUCAUCUAAAGCUAAAUAUUGGCCAGAGACCGAUAGCGCACAAGUAGAGUGAUCGAAAGAUGAAAAGCACUUUGGAAAGAGAGUUAAACAGUACGUGAAAUUGUUGAAAGGGAAGCGCUUGCAACCAGACUUGCACGCAGUCGAUCAUCCGGUGUUCUCACCGGUGCACUCGAUUGCGUUCAGGCCAGCAUCGGUUUUGGUGGUUGGAUAAAGGCCUUGGGAAUGUAGCUCCUCUCGGGGAGUGUUAUAGCCCUCGGUGCAAUGCAGCCUACCGGGACCGAGGACCGCGCUUCGGCUAGGAUGCUGGCGUAAUGGUUGUAAGCGACCCGUCUUGAAA